rnacentral:rRNA from 1 species
UACAGAGGGUGCGAGCGUUAAUCGGAUUUACUGGGCGUAAAGGGUGCGUAGGCGGUUGCAUGAGUGUGAUGUGAAAGCCCCGGGCUUAACCUGGGAAGUGCAUCGCAAACGAUUUAACUGGAGUAUAUGAGAGGGUGGCGGAAUUUCCGGUGUAGCGGUGAAAUGCGUAGAGAUCGGAAGGAACGUCAAUGGCGAAGGCAGCCACCUGGCAUAAUACUGACGCUGAGGCACGAAAGCGUGGGGAGCAAACAGG